rnacentral:rRNA from 1 species
UACGGAGGGGGCGAGCGUUAUUCGGAAUUAUUGGGCGUAAAGGGCGCGUAGGCGGCUGUACAAGUCAAAGGUGAAAUCCCUCGGCUCAACUGAGGAACUGCCUUUGAAACUGUACGGCUUGAGGCCGGGAGGGGGUAGCGGAAUUCCCAAUGUAGCGGUGAAAUGACGUAGAUAUUGGGAGGAACACCAGUGGCGAAGGCGGCUACCUGGACCGGUUCUGACGCUGAGGCGCGAAAGCGUGGGUAGCAAACAGGA